UACGAGGGGGGCAAGCGUUGUUCGGAAUUAUUGGGCGUAAAGGGCGCGUAGGCGGUUUGAUAAGUUUCAUGUGAAAUCUAUGGGCUCAACCCAUAGUCUGCAUGGAAAACUGUCGGGCUUGAGUAUGGGAGAGGUGAGUGGAAUUUCCGGUGUAGCGGUGAAAUGCGUAGAUAUCGGAAGGAACACCUGAGGCGAAAGCGGCUCACUGGACCAUUACUGACGCUGAUGCGCGAAAGCUAGGGGAG
rnacentral:rRNA from 1 species